rnacentral:rRNA from 1 species
UACGGGGGGAGCAAGCGUUGUUCGGAUUUACUGGGCGUAAAGGGCGGGUAGGCGGCCACCGCAAGUCAGUUGUGAAAUCUCUGGGCUUAACCCAGAAAGGUCAACUGAUACUGCGGGGCUAGAGUGCAGAAGGGGCAACUGGAAUUCUCGGUGUAGCGGUGAAAUGCGUAGAUAUCAGGAGGAACACCGGUGGCGAAGGCGGGUCUCUGGGCCGAUAUUGACGCUGAGGAGCGAAAGCGUGGGGAGCGAACAGG